rnacentral:rRNA from 1 species
GAUGAACGCUGGCGGCGUGCUUAACACAUGCAAGUCGAACGGAAAGGCCCAAGCUUGCUUGGGUACUCGAGUGGCGAACGGGUGAGUAACACGUGGGUGAUCUGCCCUGCACUUCGGGAUAAGCCUGGGAAACUGGGUCUAAUACUGGAUAGGACCACUUCUUGGAUGGUGUGGUGGAAAGUUUUUUCGGUGUGGGAUGAGCUCGCGGCCUAUCAGCUUGUUGGUGGGGUAAUGGCCUACCAAGGCGUCGACGGGUAGCCGGCCUGAGAGGGUGUACGGCCAAAUUGGGACGGGGGACCGGCCCAGACUCCUAGGGGGGGCGGCGGGGGGGAAAUUUGCACAAUGGGGGCAAGCCUGAUGCAGCGACGCCGGGUGGGGGAUGACGGCCUUCGGGUUGAAAACUCCUUUCGCUAGGGACGAAGCGUUUUUGGGACGGUACCUGGAAAAGAAGCACCGGCUAACUACGG